UUAGCUGGGGCCUUCUCUCUCUCUCUCUCUCUCUCGGCUCUGUUUCCCACUUGUCAUUGUCUUCUGAUUUCCGAUUUGAUUGGGUUCGUCUGCCGAGGAGUAUUUUUAUUUGAAGAUUUUUUCCUUCAAUUUUCUCUUUGACCGAAUCUUCAGUUGUUCGAUCGGAAAUGGACUGGACGAGUGAUAACGAAGUUAACGAGGAGUUCGAGUGGGACAGCGACGACGAGCCGACGGCUGCAGCGAAUCCUCCUACUCUGCCUUCUGAAGACAUUCUUGGUCCAUCCAACAAGGCUUGUGAUGCUGGUCCUUCUCGCCCUGCGCUGGCUUCUCACUUUAUGGGGAUGGGAUUUUCUGAAGAUAUGGUGUUGAAAGCCAUCAAGGAAAACGGAGAAGGAGAUUCUGAAGCUAUACUAGAAACACUGCUUACAUAUGCGGCUAUAGAAAAAUCACCUGGAAAGCUUGAUCAUUCUCCUAGUGAUUGUUCUUUAGCAAGCUGGGGAAACAACUUGGAUGAUGAUGAUGAUCUAUGUGAUGUUGAUGACUUUGAAGAUGAGGAGUUCAAUAUGGAUCUUUCUGCAGAAGAUAAGAAGUUGUUGACCCUAGUGGAGAUGGGGUUUUCCACCAAAGAGGCAUCUGCAGCCAUUCAUAGAUGUGGUCCAAAUUCUUCUAUUUUGGAGCUAGCAGAUUCCAUACAUGCUGCUGAGAUAGCGGAAAAAUUUGAGAGUCAUUUGGAAGAAUCAACUUACACCAAAGAUGAGCCUGGAAAUUAUAUUUAUGGUUGUUCAAGAGGUAAGAAAAGGGGGCUUGCAGAGGAAACAAGCAGCAAAAAAAGACGUUUUUUAACUGAGAAUGAGUCUUCUAUGAUCUCUAUUCCCAAGCCAAUGGUUGGAUAUGGCAUUCCAAAUCAAAGAAUGCCUAAAAUAUGCAGAAAGCUACCUGAGUCAGCCAUUGGUCCACCAUAUUUUUACUAUGAGAAUGUGGCCCUGGCACCAAAAGGAGUGUGGGAAACUAUCUCACGCUUCUUAUAUGACAUUGAGCCAGAAUUUGUGGAUUCGAAGUACUUCUGUGCUGCUGCAAGGAAAAGGGCGUAUGUUCACAACCUCCCCAUCCAUGACAGAUUUCCUCUUCUUCCGAUUCCUCCAAAAACCAUCCAUGAAGCACUCCCAUUAACAAGAAAGUGGUGGCCUUCCUGGGAUACCAGGACACAGUUUAACUGCUUGCAAACUUGCAUUGCUAGUGCAAAACUAACAGAGAGAAUCAGGAAAGAGCUUGAAAAUUAUGAUGACAUACCAUCUUUAAAGACACAACAGUAUGUUCUUAAUGAAUGUCGAAAAUGGAAUUUAGUUUGGGUGGGACAACAUAAAGUUGCUCCACUAGAACCAGAUGAAAUUGAAAUGCUUCUAGGAUUUCCUAGAGAUCACACAAGAGGGGGUGGUAUUAGCAGGACUGAAAGAUACCGAUCUCUUGGGAAUUCAUUUCAAGUAGAUACAGUGGCUUACCAUUUGUCAGUUCUGAAGGAUAUGUUUCCAAAUGGUAUAACACUUCUCUCACUGUUUUCCGGUAUUGGGGGAGCUGAAGUUGCUCUCCACCGGUUGGGAAUACAUCUGAAGACAGUUGUUUCUGUGGAAAUUUCAGAAGUAAAUAGAAAUUUACUAAAAAGUUGGUGGGUGCAGACAAACCAAACAGGGACUUUGAUUGAGCUUGUUGAUGUCCAACAGCUUAGCAGUGAUAAGAUUGAGCAGUUCAUCAGCACUUUUGGUGGUUUUGAUUUGGUAGUUGGUGGCAGUCCUUGUAAUAACCUCACAGGAAGCAACCGUCACCAUCGAGAUGGGCUUGAGGAAUUGUCCAUUCUCAGGUUCAUUCCCAUCAGGAAUGGGAUCAUAUUCUCAGCAAAAGCUGCAUCCUAUAGUUUGAUGUUAAAUUUUGUUGCCUCUAUAGUUACCACCAGGUGGGUGAUAAUAUUUGUCCGUGCCGAGAAUGUUGCUUGAUAAUAUUGUCUUUUUCAUCUGGAUUUCAGGACCCAGCUGGCAGAUUGUGUUGUUUUGUGGGUUUCAUGGAUUUGGUGCUGCCCACCAUGAACACAAGGUUGCCUUGUUUCAGCCAAAUGAUCGAGAUGUUAUCUUAUGCUACGUACCCAAACUCACUGGCAGCAGUAUCGGCCUUAUUUUGCGGGAAGAUAUAUGUACAGCUAAUCGAGGAAGCGAGCAAAGGCGGCCACUCGUAAGCGACUCCAUCGGAAAAGG